GCGUUUGACCUCAAAUCAGGUAGGAUUACCCGC
rnacentral:rRNA from 1 species